AUAAUAUAAAUAUUCCCUCAUAAGUUCAUAACCCUAGCCUCUCACUCAUACUUUACACUCUGAUACUUGCUCACACACAGCCGCCUAGCCUCAUCUGCUUCUCUUCUACAAACCCAAUUGUCUGCUUCUCCCAUUACGCCUCCCGUUCAUGAAGAGCAACCUGGAGACAGUUUGAGGACCCGCUGGAGAGGAAAUAAGUUAGAAAAAGUUCUAGAGCCCUAUUAGGAGUUGGAAAGAUUUGCCGAUGCAAUUGUUUGAUACCAGAGUUUGGUCAAACUUCAACGCCAGCUUAAUCUUUAUGAUUUGAUUUGUAGAAAAUUGUACUUUAGCACCCAAUUUGGAAGAAUUGACAGAGGAUAUUAGCAAGA